GCUACGUUUUCAGCGUGUUUUCUUGGGAGAUCAAAGCUUAAAUCCCGUUAACCCUUCAGAUGUCAGCCUGGUGCUUCACAACAGACACCAUAAAUCCGAGGGAAAUGAGAAAGAAUAAGAAGAAUAAAAGAAAAAGAAUAUUUGGCAAGAUUUUAUUAUUUUAGCAGCUGGCUGAUGAUUGGAUUGGAUGAUUUGGAAGGUCUUUUCCAACCUGAAUGAUCCCAUGAAGUUUGCUGGAUGCUACGUGAGGUUAAAGGAGAAUCUCAGGAGCAGAAGGGACACCUUCCACUGGAAAGGAUGAGGUGGGAACAGAUUGAAGAGUCCCUUGGACAAAAAGGUGGCUCGGAGAAAAUGUGACCUGGAUCCAGAUCGCCGCUGAGUUGGUUGUGCUGAGCCCCAAACCUCCUCAGACAGCCAAAGAUGGAGGAGAAAAGUCAAAUUAAACCUUCCACAGGUUCUGCCCCAGUUGUCCUGGCACAGGAAACGUCUCUUGGUUUAUCCUGCAACCAAAGCAUUUGUGAUGUGGAAAUGAUUUCAUUCCUCACUGCACCUCUUGGAAGGCUGGGUCCUCACUCCAACAAGAUUCUGCACUGUGUUGGUACAUAACUCUGAACUUCACACAGAGUGUUGGCCAGUUCUCCUCACAGCUCAGUCACACAGAACAAUCCUUCUCCAGCCCCAGAACCAAGGACACCGCUGCAGCUUCGGGCCCAAAAAGUGCAAACAGCAGAGAAGUGAGCAGAGCGAUCUGGAAGUUCAUAACCGGUGACACAGGAUUGAGGGGUGGAGCCGUGCUCAGCGUGACCUCUCUGCCCUGCAGGAACCCCCAGCCACGCUGCCGCUGCAGAGAGGGCAGGAUCUGUGCCCAGUUUGUGCUUUCUGGACAGAGGAACUCGCUGUGAUCUCAGGAAAAAGAUUUCCCUACCAGCUGCGUAAUGAGAGGUUUGAUUGCCUUGCCUUGAAGAGAGAGACAGAGCUCCCCUGAGCUCAGGGGGGGAAUAAUCCAUGUGGAUUGCCAUCACCAGAGCUGCUCAGGUGGAAAUGGUCAGGUGAGGGGCAAUGCCCUGCCUGCAGAGCAGCACUGGAGUCAUCCCUGUCCUCCACAAGCCCAGUUCAGCUUCCUCCUGACUCCUCAGCGGGAUUUAAAUAGAACAGCCACCGUCCCAGCGUGUAUUAACAGGUCUGGGAGUUCACCUGGAUGUCUUCAGAGAGCUGUCACGUUCCCAACUGGAAACAGGGAAAAGAGCCAGGGUGGCCAAGAAUUUCCUGGACAACUUCCUAAGCAAUGCUGACAGCCAAGGAUCAGCUCCUCUGUCACCACCACCUCUCCGAUGUCACCCCUUAGGGUGAGCUCCCAGCUGACCAGGAGUGGCUGCUCUGUAAAAUCUCUUUAUUUGGAUGACUCCAAAACACGAGGAAAAAGAAACAAAACUGGUCGGAAUUCUGCCUGGAAUCACUUACGGGAAUCCAACAAAACACAAGGAAAACUCAUCAGGGAGGUUGCCCAGCUUUUCCUGGGAUGGGGAAUUAAGGACCAGCGAACACAUCCAGUGGGGGACAGGUAACAAAAAAGGUUUGAGUUGGAAAGGACCUUAAAGAACGUUCUGUCCCACCCCUGCCAUGGGCAGGGACACCUUCCACUACCCCAGGCUGCUCCAAACCCCAUCCAGGCUGCCCUUGGACAUUCCCAAGGAUGGAGCAGCUCCCCUGGGGAGGGUUGGAGUGAGGGCAGGUGAACGGGAAUUUCUGCCUCCUUAAACUUUGGCCCUUGUGCUGCCUCACCCCUCACUUCACACCUCGUGGCUUGAUGGAUCCCACCCGGGCUCUGCACCGGCUCGUCUGCAGGCACUAAAGUGCAGGGUGGAGAGCUGCAUUGCAAGGCAGGCAUUUCCCUGAUUUCCCCGAGUGGGAAAUCGAUGGGCAGCAGCAUUUGGAGAGCAAAUUGACAGCAGUAUUUACUCCUCGAUGGCGCGCGGCGCUGCCGGGGCGCCUUAAUUCGAUGUUCUCAGGCACUUUCAGGAUGUUAUGCUAAGCAAAGGCUGAGCUGUCAUUACAUUUUUAUGAAGUCAAUGCAGUUUCUAACAGCUCAGAAGAAAGAAUUUACAAGAAUUGAUCAAAUAUCUCGUUUUUUUCUAAGGGAAUCUGCUCCUCUGGAUUUCCCUGAGCUGUCAGCUCGCGUUGAUAUGAUCUGAUUGAUGCUGUUUGCCACAUUAAGGAACGUCGGUAGCUAAUCUGUUUUAAUCCCAUUCUCUGUUUUUCAUAUAAUACUCUUGAAGGUAGCUGAAGGUUAUUACUUAUUUUAAAUAGCUUAAAUAUUUGUGUCAAAACAUUGUCCUCAAAGGUUCAAAUCCUGCCUU